rnacentral:rRNA from 1 species
ACGGAAGGCAGCAGUGAGGAAUAUUGGUCAAUGGACGCAAGUCUGAACCAGCCAUGCCGCGUGCAGGAAUAAGGCCCUAUGGGUCGUAAACUGCUUUUGUGGUGGAGCAAUAAGUCGUACGUGUACGGCGAUGAGAGUACAUCACGAAUAAGCAUCGGCUAACUCCGUGCCAGCAGCCGCGGUAAUACGGAGGAUGCAAGCGUUAUCCGGAUUUAUUGGGUUUAAAGGGUGCGUAGGCUGUGGUCCAAGUCAGGGGUGAAAGCCCGGAGCUCAACUCCGGAACUGCCUUUGAUACUGGAUUGCUGGAAUACGGAUGCCGUGGGAGGAAUGAGUAGUGUAGCGGUGAAAUGCAUAGAUAUUACUCAGAACACCGAUUGCGAAGGCAUCCCACGAAUCCGUCAUUGACGCUGAGGCACGAAAGCGUGGGGAUCAAACAGGAUUAGAUACCCUGGUA